rnacentral:rRNA from 1 species
UACGUAGGGGGCAAGCGUUGUCCGGAAUCAUUGGGCGUAAAGCGCGUGUAGGCGGCUUGGUAAGUCCGGUGUGAAACCUUGGGGCUCAACCCCAAGCCUGCAUCGGAAACUGCCUCGCUCGAGUCCGGGAGGGGAGAGCGGAAUUCCUAGUGUAGCGGUGAAAUGCGCAGAUAUUAGGAAGAACACCGGUGGCGAAAGCGGCUCUCUGGAACGGUACUGACGCUGAGACGCGAAAGCGUGGGGAGCGAACAGG